rnacentral:rRNA from 1 species
AGCGAACGCUGGCGGCAGGCUUAACACAUGCAAGUCGAGCGGGCACUUUCGGGUGUCAGCGGCGGACGGGUGAGUAACGCGUGGGAACGUGCCCUCUGGUUCGGAAUAACUCAGGGAAACUUGAGCUAAUACCGGAUACGCCCUUUUGGGGAAAGGCUUGCUGCCGGAGGAUCGGCCCGUGUCUGAUUAGCUAGUUGGUGAGGUAACGGCUCACCAAGGCGACGACCAGUAGCUGGUCUGAGAGGAUGAUCAGCCACACUGGGACUGAGACACGGCCCAGACUCCUACGGGAGGCAGCAGUGGGGAAUAUUGGACAAUGGGCGCAAGCCUGAUCCAGCCAUGCCGCGUGAGUGAUGAAGGCCUUAGGGUUGUAAAGCUCUUUUAUCCGGGACGAUAAUGACGGUACCGGAGGAAUAAGCCCCGGCUAACUUCGUG